rnacentral:rRNA from 1 species
AGUGAACGCUGGCGGUAGGCCUAACACAUGCAAGUCGAACGGCAGCACAGUAAGAGCUUGCUCUUACGGGUGGCGAGUGGUGGACGGGUGAGGAAUACAUCGGAAUCUACUUUUUCGUGGGGGAUAACGUAGGGAAACUUACGCUAAUACCGCAUACGACCUACGGGUGAAAGCAGGGGAUCUUCGGACCUUGCGCGAUUGAAUGAGCCGAUGUCGGAUUAGCUAGUUGGCGGGGUAAAGGCCCACCAAGGCGACGAUCCGUAGCUGGUCUGAGAGGAUGAUCAGCCACACUGGAACUGAGACACGGUCCAGACUCCUACGGGAGGCAGCAGUGGGGAAUAUUGGACAAUGGGCGCAAGCCUGAUUCAGCCAUACCGCGUGGGUGAAGAAGGCCUUCGGGUUGUAAAGCCCUUUUGUUGGGAAAGAAAAGCAGCAGGUUAAUACCCCGCUGUUCUGACGGUACCCAAAGAAUAAGCACCGGCUAACUUCGUG